AAUGCAUGGUGUGGAUACUUCAUAAGUAAUUCCUUAAAUCUCUCCCAAGAUUCAUAUAUUGAUUCUUCAUCUAGUUUUGUGAAGAAUGUAAUGAUAAUCCUAUUGCU